UUUUUCAGUGUAUACAGUAUAACACUAUUUCUCAUUCAGACAUACUGUAAGACAUUGCUGGUGAAAGGUAAAUUCAGGAUCUGCAAAAAUAAACUCCUUAAGCAUCAGGAUGAUGAUUUCAUAAUUCAAGGUAAUUUUUAUUUUUUUUUCUUCUGAUUUGAGUUCUCCGCCUUAGUGAUCUUCGCAUUAUUCUAAUUGUUAUUUUUGUUUUUAGUUCACAAUAAGUUUGAGCUGCCUUCAGGGACAUUUCUGCACAUCUAAUAACGACACUGAAGCCGAGAUUGAGGAUGACAUUUUAUAAGAAUUACUUCAAGCAAAACCUAUGAUGGAAACAGUUAGAUACCACAAUAAUGGUUUGUUUUUCUUCCAUUUAAUUCUUUCAUUAUUGUUUUACAGAGUCAGGCAUUGGAAACUUGCACCAACAUUUGUCCAUAUCUAGCUGGACCAAACACCAGAGCAUCCAACCAAGAAACCUGGAAAGGCAGCCGAAUCAGCAGCUGAAGCCAAGGAGCAGGUGGUGAUGCCAUACUUGCAGAGUACAGGUCCAAAUUAUUUUGCCAAGUGAAACAAGGCGUGUUCUUGUCAACAUACUGGUUGGAGACAUAGUAGAGAUACAUGGUUGCCACAUUGUUGGUUGUUCACGUCUGUGUCAGUGACUGGGCUGCACAUUGAUGUUAAACCUGCUACAAGCGAUGAUACCAGGCCUCCUUUGACCAUCUGUAUGUUUGCUCCCAUUACUCUCAACUGUAGUAUUUGAAACUUGUUGCCGGGGAACAGUUACAUAAAGUUGUUGUAUCUGCUGUAUAGUUUUUAAGCUAUACAUUUCUUAGCCCUUCUUUUAUCUACAAAACGUAAACAGUGUACAACUGUGACCACAAAAUGCUUCUCUACCUAAAAUAUCAAUGAACAAUUAUGCUGCUGUAGAGUCUUUAACUAUGGGGCCUCAAAUAUAUUCUACCAAUUCAUUAUAUGGAGGUGUCUUUAAUCUCAGCAAUUAAAUGAAAAGUGAAGAUACAUGACUUUUGCAAAGCAUAUUAAGCUACCACAGAGGCCAUUCAUAUCACUCUUUAUUAACUGUGGCAAUCUCCUCUAGUAGUCGUUACCAAGUCUUUCAUACCCUCUUUAUUUGGAUUAGUGUCCACAUUGUUUCACUGCUGUUUGGCUAAAGGUUAUCUGGCCAGAGAUUACAAAGAAAGUGCAGAGUUGAUAUGUUGCCACAAUGAUGAACCCAGUUGACUUGGUGUUACUCUGUGGGGAUUUCAAAAGUCUUCCUAAAGCAUGGCGCAAUUCCUAAGAUGGAGCCGGGUUUCCAGUUGAUCUUGUAAAUCUGAAAUUUAAAAUUACUUUUCUGUUUUUCAGUCUACUUACAGUAUAUAAUUAAGAACUGAAAUCUUACUUUUUUUAUCCCCAGGUGUAUAUUCACUGCAUAAUAGUUUUGUGGUUCUUAGUAUAUUAGUUAAUUAUAUAUUAAUUCUUAGUAUAUUUUACUGCUGUUGCAUAUGGCAGGACACAGAAACCCAAUAACUCAACAAAAUAAAUAAAAAUAAAGUACCAUGUAUAAUGUGAAAUAGAAUUUAUCAGG